UCGCCUGUUUAACAAAAACAUGUCUUUUUGAUUUUUUUUUAAAGUUUAACCUGCCCAGUGAAUUAAAAUUUUAACGGCCGCAGUAUACUGACUGUGCAAAGGUAGCAUAAUCAAUAGUCUUUUAAUUGAAGGCUUGAAUGAAUGGUUGGACGAGAUAUUAACUGUUUCAUUUAAAUUUAUAAUAAAAUUUUAUUUUUUAGUUAAAAAGCUAAAAUAAAUUUAAAAGACGAGAAGACCCUAUAAAUCUUUAUAUUUAGUUUAUUAUAAAUUUAUAGAAUAUUUUUUUUAUAAUAAUUAUAAUAUUUUAUUGGGGUGAUAUUAAAAUUUAACAAACUUUUAAUUUUAUGUUACAUUAAUUUAUGAUUUAUUGAUCCAUUAUUAUUGAUUAAAAAUUUAAGUUACUUUAGGGAUAACAGCGUAAUUUUUUUGGAGAGUUCAUAUCAAUAAAAAAUAUUGCGACCUCGAUGUUGGAUUAAGAUAUAGUUUUAGGUGUAGUCGCUUAAAUUUUAAGUCUGUUCGACUUUUAAAUUCUUACAUGA
rnacentral:rRNA from 1 species